rnacentral:rRNA from 1 species
CCCUUAGAUGUUCUGGGCCGCACGCGCGCUACACUGAUGCAUUCAACGAGUUUCUUCCUGGUCCGAGAGGAAUGGGUAACCUUUUGAAAGUGCAUCGUGAUAGGGAUAGACUAUUGCAAUUAUUGGUCUUCAACGAGGAAUUCCUAGUAGACGUAGUUCAUCAGACUGCAUCGAUUACGUCCCUGCCCUUUGUACACACCGCCCGUCGCUCCUACCGAUUGAAUGCUCAGGUGAGCCAUUCGGACUUUCAUCAUGCUGGUUUCCAGUUUUGAUGAAGGAAAGUCUUGCGAAUCUUAUCAUUUAGAGGAAGGAGAAGUCGUAACA